GAACUACUUUACUUUGAUAGAUCUUAAUUUUAAAACUUAAUUACGCAUGGUAGUUUUGCGGGAAUAAAACCCAGCUAAAAAUAUUAAACCAAUAAUAGAAAUAUUAAUUUAAUUAUGGUUUAUUUAUGGGGCAAACUAGGUGCCAGCAGCCGCGGUCAUACCUAGCCAUAAAAAUUAAGAAAUUAGGCCAGGCUUUAACUAGGAAAAAUUAUUAUUCAAGUGAAAUAGAUAGUAAUUUGAACUUCGACUUGUUAAUUUCUGCCAAAACUCGAUAUAUAAACUAGGAUUAGAUACCCUACUAUAAAGAGUAAAAAAUGUGACCUAAGCACUAAGACUAAAGAGUUAAAACUUAAAAAGUAUGGCGGCGGCUUUAAAUUUUAGGGGAACUUACCAGGUAAUUGACAACCCACAAGAUACAGAACUUAAUUUUAAAGCUUGUAUACCGCCGUCUACAGAAUGUAUUUAAGAUAUUUUCAAACCUCUUGUUAAGAGAAAAGACAGGCCAUGGUGCAGCCAAUAAUUAAGACUUUAAGGUGAGUUACAAUAUUGACUCUUUUCAGAAUUUAAUUGAAAACUUUAAAGAAGAUGGACCUAAAAGUAAAUAAUAAAGAAGUAUUUAUUGAAUAUUUUAAAAAGUCGUGUACAAAUCGCCCGUCACUCUCGUUGAAAAAGGAGAUAAGUCGUAACACAGUAGAGGUAACGGAAGUUGUCUCUGUCUUAAU
rnacentral:rRNA from 1 species